rnacentral:misc_RNA from 1 species
GAAAUGCGAUAAGUAAUGUGAAUUGCAGAAUUCAGUGAAUCAUCGAAUCUUUGAACGCACCUUGCGCUCCUUGGUAUUCCGAGGAGCAUGCCUGUUUGAGCGUCAUGGAAUUCUCAACUCUAUUUGCUUUUGUGAAUAGAGCUUGGAUUUGGAGGUUUAUUGCUGGUACUUGUGAUCGGCUCCUCUUGAAUGCAUUAGCUCGAACCUUUGCGGAUCAGCUAUCGGUGUGAUAAUUGUCUACGCCGUUGCAGUGAAGCAUAUCAAUGGGCUCGGCUUCCAAUCGUCCUUUACUGGACAAUGACUUUGACCUUUGACCUCAAAUCAGGUAGGAUUACCCGCUGAACUUAAGC